CGUAGGUGGCAAGCGUUGUCCGGAGUUACUGGGUGUAAAGGGCGUGUAGGCGGGUUAUUAAGUCAGAUGUGAAAUUCCAUGGCUCAACUGUGGCGCUGCAUCUGAAACUGAUGAUCUUGAGUGAUGGAGAGGAAAGUGGAAUUCCUAGUGUAGCGGUGAAAUGCGUAGAUAUUAGGAGGAACACCAGUGGCGAAGGCGACUUUCUGGACAUUAACUGACGCUGAGGCGCGAAAGCGUGGGGAGCAAACAGGAUUAGAUACCCUGGUAGUCCACGCUGUAAACGAUGGAUACUAGGUGUAGGAGGUAUCGACCCCUUCUGUGCCGGAGUUAACACAAUAAGUAUCCCACCUGGGGAGUACGGCCGCAAGGUUG
rnacentral:rRNA from 1 species